rnacentral:lncRNA from 1 species
UUUGGAGUUGCUUGUUCUUCUUCUUCUUCAUCGAUCUAGGAUGGGUUCCAGGCCGGCAGCCUGGGAUAGCAAGGAUGGACGUCGUUCUUCUUUUGUCGUUUGUUUUCGUCCGUAGUCGGACCCUGCUCUUACUCUUGAUGAUUAUGUAAUGUACUGAUGUGACUCUGAUGUAGCUUGUGGCGAGUGUAAGACAACUCUUUAUAUAUC